rnacentral:rRNA from 1 species
CGGUUUAAUUGGAUUCAACGCCGGAAAUCUCACCGGGGCGACAGCAAUAUGAAGGUCAGGCUGAAGACCUUACCCGAUUAGCUGAGAGGUGGUGCAUGGCCGUCGUCAGUUCGUACUGUGAAGCAUCCUGUUAAGUCAGGCAACGAGCGAGACCCACGUUCACAGUUGCCAGCAUACCCUCCGGGGUGAUGGGUACACUGUGGAGACCGCCGCUGCUAAAGCGGAGGAAGGAGUGGGCAACGGUAGGUCAGUAUGCCCCGAAUCUCCCGGGCUACACGCGGGCUACAAUGGUUGGUACAAUGGGCAUCUACCCCGAAAGGGGAAGGAAAUCUCUUAAAGCCAAUCGUAGUUCGGAUUGAGGGCUGCAACUCGCCCUCAUGAAGCUGGAAUCCGUAGUAAUCGCGUUUCAACAGAACGCGGUGAAUACGUCCCUGCUCCUU